rnacentral:rRNA from 1 species
AGAGUGAACGCUGGCGGCAGGCCUAACACAUGCAAGUCGAACGGCAGCACAGGAGAGCUUGCUCUCUGGGUGGCGAGUGGCGGACGGGUGAGGAAUACGUCGGAAUCUGCCUAUUUGUGGGGGAUAACGUAGGGAAACUUACGCUAAUACCGCAUACGACCUACGGGUGAAAGCGGGGA